GUCUUACCAGACACGGUUAGACCUGGGUCCUUCUGUCUAAUACUGUCUGGUAAUGCCGU
rnacentral:pre_miRNA from 2 species